UACGGGGGGGGCAAGCGUUGUUCGGAAUUACUGGGCGUAAAGGGUUCGUAGGUGGCUUGCUAAGUCAGACGUGAAAUCCCUGGGCUCAACCCAGGAACUGCGUCCGAUACUGGGAGGCUUGAAUCCGGGAGAGGGAUGUGGAAUUCCAGGUGUAGCGGUGGAAUGCGUAGAUAUCUGGAGGAACACCGGUGGCGAAGGCGGCAUCCUGGACCGGUAUUGACGCUGAUGCGCGAAAGCCAGGGGAGCAAACGGG
rnacentral:rRNA from 1 species